GGGUAAAUAAGUAUCGAACUUCAUUGCUAUCAUCAAAUGUUGAAGCAUUGCUAUGCACACGUGAUUGGUUAUUUGAUUUAAAAGAUGAAAACGAGAACGAAAUGGAUGAAGAUCUUGUUGAAGACAUUGAAGCAUUGAUUCCAACUUUUGGCAACUUUUAGGGAUUUUAAAGGAAGCAUCCGUGAAGAAGUGCAAUUCGUCAAGACGUUUUGUAUGUUAUUGAAUCAGAUCUUUUGUAAGUGCAAGGAACCGAACUAGAUCUUUUGUAAUUUUCAGUUUACUUAACGGUUUGCAACUUUAGUUUUAUGAUUCUGGUUAGAUUUUUUGUUGUUUAUUUGGGGGUGAUAUUCAAUUUGAGCAAGUGGGGUUUAGUUUGUUUGUGAAAAGAUUCAAUCUUUGUGAAUGAUUUGAAGAUACUCAUUGUUCUGCAGCA